CGGACGGGUGAGGAAUACAUCGGAAUCUACUCUGUCGUGGGGGAUAACGUAGGAAACUUACGCUAAUACCGCAUACGACCUACGGGAGAAAGCAGGGGACCUUCGGGCCUUGCGCUAUCAGAUGAGCCUAGGUCGGAUUAGCUAGUUGGUGAGGUAAUGGCUCACCAAGGCGACGAUCCGUAACUGGUCUGAGAGGAUGAUCAGUCACACUGGAACUGAGACACGGUCCAGACUCCUACGGGAGGCAGCAGUC
rnacentral:rRNA from 1 species